rnacentral:rRNA from 1 species
AGUGAACGCUGGCGGCGUGCUUAACACAUGCAAGUCGAACGAGAAACGGGUUUAGCUUGCUAAAUUGCAGUCUAAGUGGCGCACGGGUGAGUAAUGUAUAGAUAAUAUGCCUUUUACUAAGGGAUAACAGUUGGAAACGGCUGCUAAUACCUUAUAUGCCUUUAAUACAUAAGUAUGCAAGGGAAAGAUUUAUUGGUAAAAGAUUAGUCUGUAUUGUAUCAGUUAGUUGGUGAGGUAAUGGCUCACCAAGACUAUGACGCAUAACUGGUUUGAGAGGAUGAUCAGUCACACUGGAACUGAGACACGGUCCAGACUCCUACGGGAGGCAGCAGUGGGGAAUAUUGCACAAUGGGGGAAACCCUGAUGCAGCAACGCCGCGUGGAGGAUGACACAUUUCGGAGCGUAAACUCCUUUUAUAUGAGAAGAUAAUGACGGUAUUAUAUGAAUAAGCACCGGCUAACUCCGUGCCAGCCGCCGCCGUAA